GAUGAACGCUGGCGGCGUGCCUAAUACAUGCAAGUCGAGCGAACAGACGAGGAGCUUGCUCCUCUGACGUUAGCGGCGGACGGGUGAGUAACACGUGGAUAACCUACCUAUAAGACUGGGAUAACUUCGGGAAACCGGAGCUAAUACCGAUAAUAUAUUGAACCGCAUGGUUCAAUAGCGAAAGACGGUUUUGCUGUCACUUAUAGAUGGAUCCGCGCCGCAUUAGCUAGUUGGUAAGGUAACGGCUUACCAAGGCGACGAUGCGUAGCCGACCUGAGAGGGUGAUCGGCCACACUGGAACUGAGACACGGUCCAGACUCCUACGGGAGGCAGCAGUAGGGAAUCUUCCGCAAUGGGCGAAAGCCUGACGGAGCAACGCCGCGUGAGUGAUGAAGGUCUUCGGAUCGUAAAACUCUGUUAUUAGGGAAGAACAAAUGUGUAAGUAACUAUGCACGUCUUGACGGUACCUAAUCAGAAAGCCACGGCUAACUACGUG
rnacentral:rRNA from 1 species